rnacentral:tRNA from 1 species
GAAGGUGUGAUUCAAUUGGUAGAAUGCCAGCCUAGCAAUCAGGAGGCCCUGAGUUCAAACCUCCAGUGCUAUCA